rnacentral:rRNA from 1 species
GCGAACUGCGGGACGUGAGCGGCGGUAGUGCGAAGUAUUGGGGCGUUUUGCGGAUUUAUUGGGUUUAAAGGGUGGGUAGGCGGCCUGAUAAGUCAGUGGUGAAAUCCUAUCGCUUAACGAUAGACGUGCCAUUGAUACUGUAGGGCUUGAGUAUAGAUGCCGUUGGCGGAAUGUGUCAUGUAGCGGUGAAAUGCAUAGAUAUGACACAGAACACCGAUUGCGAAGGCAGCUGACGAAACUAUAACUGACGCUGAUGCACGAAAGCGUGGGGAUCAAACAGGAUUAGAUACCCGAGUAGUC